CAAUAGCGUAUAUUAAAGUUGUUGCGGUUAAAAAGCUCGUAGUUGGAGUUCUGCCAGGUGCCGCCUGUCCGCCCCAGUGGUGAGUACGUGGCGCGCAUUUGGUCCUUUCAAGGGGAGCGUAUCUGCACUUUAUUGUGUGGUGCGGGAUCCUUGACUUUUACUUUGAGGAAAUAGGAGUGUUCCAAGCAGGCUCUCGUCGUGCACAGCUCAGCAUGGAAUAAUAGCAUUGGACCUCGAUUCUAAGCUGUUGGUUGCCAGAAGCGAGGUAAUGAUGAAGAGGGAUAGUUGGGGGCAUUCGUAUUUAACUGUCAGAGGUGAAAUUCUUGGAUUUGUUAAAGACGGGCUACUGCGAAAGCAUCUGCCAUGGAUGUUUUCAUUGA
rnacentral:rRNA from 1 species